rnacentral:rRNA from 1 species
GACAGAGGGUGCAAACGUUGUUCGGAAUUACUGGGCGUAAAGCGCACGUAGUCGGCUUUGCAAGUCGGGUGUGAAAUCCCCGGGCUCAACCUGGGAACUGCAUCCGAGACUGCAUUGCUAGAGUAUGGGAGAGGGAAGCGGAAUUUCUGGUGUAGCAGUGAAAUGCGUAGAUAUCAGAAGGAACAUCAGUGGCGAAGGCGGCAUCCUGGACCAACACUGACGCUGAGGAGCGAAAGCCAGGGGAGCAAACGGG